rnacentral:rRNA from 1 species
GGGCCCGCACAAGCAGUGGAGUAUGUGGUUUAAUUCGAAGCAACGCGAAGAACCUUACCAGGUCUUGACAUCGUGCGCAUAGCCUAGAGAUAGGCGAAGCCCUUCGGGGCGCAUAGACAGGUGGUGCAUGGUUGUCGUCAGCUCGUGUCGUGAGAUGUUGGGUUAAGUCCCGCAACGAGCGCAACCCUUAUGAUUAGUUGCUACGCAAGAGCACUCUAAUGAGACUGCCGUUGACAAAACGGAGGAAGGUGGGGAUGACGUCAAAUCAUCAUGCCCCUUAUGACCUGGGCUACACACGUACUACAAUGGCGCUCAAACAAAGGGAAGCGACACCGCGAGGUGAAGCGGAUCCCAAAAAAGCGUCUCAGUUCGGAUCGCAGGCUGCAACCCGCCUGCGUGAAGUCGGAAUUGCUAGUAAUCGCAGAUCAGCAUGCUGCGGUGAAUACGUUCCCGGGCCUU